UGCUCGCCUGUCUCACAAACGUUGCUCACUGGGAGAUGCGCACCAACAACAUGAUGGCCGCCGACUCGGGAAUUUGAUAAACAUUACAGACGUUUAUGCCUGUUGCGGUCCCGGGAAGCCAUGACGGGGUUUUGUUAAAUACCUAGCGAGUCCUUUGUAAGGUUAAGGCGCUAAGAUGUCAAGUUCAUUUGUGAAAGAUUGUUCUGAUGUAUCAGCUCCAGGAAACUCAAAUUCUGGGAAAACAGUGAUCAUCAUUGUUAAUAAUGAAACUGGUAAUGUUUCAUUAGAUGAUGAUGAACUACAGAACCUACUUGCAAGCCAUGGAGCAGAUGGUUCUGAAGUCAGUGUAGUGCGAAUGGGAAGUGGCGGAGUGGAGAAUCUCGGUGAAGCAAGUGUUAAUGCCUUAGUUGCUACUUCUGAUGGCGCUCAGCAUGUUAAUCUUACUGUUGAGGGAUUCCCAGCAAUUCCAAUUGAAGGUUAGAAAAUUAUUAUUAAUUUGA